rnacentral:rRNA from 1 species
AUGGCGGCGUCGACUUCGCAGCCUUUUACAUUGACCGACCUCCCGCCGGACCUCUUAGGCCUGGUCAUCGCUCUCCUCCCGCUCCCCGCCGACCGUGCCCGCUUCCGCGCCGUCUGCCGCUCGUGGCGCUCUGCCAUGCACGACCACGUCGAUACGCCGCAGCUACCGUGGAUCGUCCACUCAGAUGGCACCUUUGUCACCCUUCCCAACUAUUACCUCCACAGAUGGUCCCCCUUCCCCGAAAACACCAAGCUCAUAGGCGCCAGCGGCAGCUGGCUCGCCCUCGUCUGCCACGCCGACGGCGACGCCAAUGGUGGUCCGCGGAGCUACAUGUUGCAUAACCCUUUCUCCAACACAACAGUGCCCCUCCCCGGGUUGGACUCCGUCAUCGGCAGGGUUCCUGAUGAGUUCAAGGUCAGAAAGCUGCUUAUGAGCUCCACCCAAGAUGAUCUUGUUGCCGUGACCACUAACAUGAGGGAUCGCCGGAUUAUAUUGUGCCGCCCUGGGAAAUCCGGCACAUGGUUGCCCAAGCGCCGAGCGUUACCAUUUGCUCGUAUUUGUGACAUUGCGUUCCUUGAGGGCAAUCUCUAUGGGGUCACCUCGGAUGAACAACUUAUCGAGUUAGAAAUUGGUCAGAGAGAAGAUGGAUGUCCAAUGGUAAGAAGUGCUAAAUAUGUUAUCAAACACUUCCUAGCUCACGACGAGGGGGACGAGCAGGAGGACAAUGAAGACGAAUCAGAAGUGUCGGGCAGUGAGGAUGAUGAAGUGGUGGAGCCGAGCGAGGCAUCGAGUCUUGGGGGUGAAGAAGCAUCGGAGUACAAAGAGACAUCGAGUCUUGGGGGUGAAGAAGCAUCGGAGUACAAAGAGACAUCGAGUCUUGGGGGUGAAGAAGCAUCGGAGUACAAAGAGACAUUGAGUGAUGAUGAUGAUGAUGAUGAUGAUGAUGAUGAUGAUAUGGAAAGCAGCGAGACAUCAAGUAUCGAGGAUGAUGAUGAUGAUGAUGAUGAUGAUGAUGAUGAUAUGGAAAGCAGCGAGACAUCAAGUAUCGAGGAUGAUGAUGAAGAUACGGAAAGCACGAGCGACAAGGAAUCCGACGAUGACAAUGAAGUAGAAAACAAUCUGGAGGACGUAGAUCUGGACGGAUAUUGCUCGAAUCCCGAUGACGUCGAGGAGAACGAAUUCAUGGAUUACAUCAUAACCGUAAGAUAUCUCCUUGAGUCAGGUGGCAAGCUACUCAUGAUAAGGCGCCGACGUUUUAUACCAAACCAUUCCACGAGGCUCGGUCGCGAGUUCAUAACCGAUAGCGAGGUCGAUGAUGAUUCUGACGUCGACAUCCUAGAGGCAGAUCUGCACAUGGGCUCGUGGGUGCAGGCUGUUACAACAUGCACGCUCUUCAUAGGUGAUGACUUCUCAAAAUCGAUUCAUGGUUGUGAGGAGGCAUCUGAAGAAUUCGGCUACUACUUCCUUGAUGAACACGACGUCACCAUCACGAGGGCCACAACCUUCCCGGAGUUCCUAGAUUGGAAAUCGGUGUGGUUUUCUCCUCCAGAUAUAGUGGUUUAA